CAAAAAACUAUUUCAAAACUAUAGGCAUCUCCCCUUCCCCAAGAUGUGGAGGCUGGGGUCAGCCCUUGGUGGAGGUUGCUUUGUGGCUUGGAAGCAAUCUCUACACAGGGAAGAAUAUUAAGCAAACACCCUCCUCGGUAUUCAUGGGCAAAUCUAAGAAAGCAGGUGUGUUAGACUCAGAAGUUAAAUAUCCUGCUUUGUUAUGUAAAUUGUUAAGUGCUGUUUUUAGUGAAAACUACAUUUCUGCAGACUUGGAUGCUCCAAUAGCACUGUUUCUCUUCUUGGUAAGAAUUCACGCUGGUUGCAAUUUGCUUAGAAACAGUGGCCAUAAGCCAGGCAAUACAUAGGUUGGUGGCAGGCAGUGAGGAGUUGUGUAUGCAGCUUCAGGACUUGCUCUCAAUCCACUUACAUUCUCAUGGGCUGGGACAGAUAAAAACAUGUGCACAAAUAAAAAACUAAGUAGAUAGAAACAUACUGCUACUACUACUAACUUCUGUGAAGAGGAAAAAUAAAGUAGCGUGAUAGCAAUGGAAGGGAGUUGCUUUAGUUUGGACAGGAUCUGAGGACCUCUCCAAAGAAAUGACAAGUGAAUGGUCCAUUAAGGAAAAAGUAGGGGGUAGGGGCAGUUGCACUCAAAUUGUGGAAAAUUCUUGGUUACAGAGGGGGAAGUGUUGCUAUGAACCUGAAAAAUGGCAUGGUAGUUGAAGAGGAUGUCAGGGCAUGGGGAAUUUUAUUUUGGAUGGAUAAUUUUGUAGCAAAUUUGUAAGCUUAUGAGAAUGAUCCAGCAGAGAAGGAAAAAUUGAUGAUACUGAAUAAAAUGAGAAAAACUGGAGGCAUACAGUUCUUGAGAAAGCAAGAACAUAUGAGAUAGAGAUCGUAAAUAGGGGAGUUUGUCUUUGGGAUGAGUUGUGGUGGUUACUCCGUCAACAGGGUGGAAGUCAGGGCUUGUACAUAAAGACAACAGCUAGGAUCACUGGGAAAAUUCAGUUGGGGACUUCAUAUCUGAAUGCAUCAAAGAUAAAUGCAAUCGGAUAUAAACUCUCCAACUAAAUCUCUCUUUGAUGUAAGGAGAGGUCAUCAGUAGACCGUAGACAGUGUGCCUGAGGAAAGAGAAGCUGUGAAAUAAUCAUGUCUAGAUUUGGGAAGAAAAAUUUACUUAGAAAAUGUAGAAGAAUCAUCUGGUUGGAUUAAAUGCAUUUCAGAUGUGUGGUCAUUUAUUGAUGUGUCCACUCAACACCGUUUUGUAACAUUUUCCAGCCACAAGCAGCUUCUGGGGAGCAGAUACAAAGAAGAUGUUACAAAUCAGAGGACAUCAUGAAGCAGGGUGUGAGCUUCUACUGCUACAUGAGCCUGUUCUUGCAAGACAUGUAGGGGAGAAGAUGAGGAGAAUUGCAGAUACCUAGCACGGGGCCCUGGAGAAUCUCUGAAAAGAGAACAACCAACAAGCACUGUAAGGAGACAAGGUUCUUGCAUCAACAGGCUGCGCAGAGAGAAGAGUUUGAAAGAGAUUCAAUGCUGAAUUUUCUCACUAAUCUGAGGAGAAGAGAGACAUGGAAAGAAAGAACAUGAGAGAGAGGGAGAAUCAGAGUUCAUAUGGCUAAUUUUCUAGCCAGCAGCUACUGGAACGUUUCCAUUAAGAGAUAUGAGAAGAGACAAAGAGAAGUAAUAACUGAAGAUGGCUUUCUUGGCCAGAAAAUAAGUUGUUCUGCCGAGAUGGAGGGCAGUGGGUGAGAGCGCAGAUGAAGUAGGUGCCCGGGGGACACAUUUCAUUUUAAUGUCAUCUCUUUAGUACCUCUCUAUCUGCACAUUCAAUUAACAUCGGAGGGAAAAAAUAAGAAGUUCCUCCCAUGUCAGCCUGCUUGGGGAACAGAACUGGGGAGACACAGUGACCUCACAUGUUCUUCUCAGAGAGUGCUUUCCAUCUCUGAGUUGGCCUUCAACGUUCAAGAAAAUGGAUAUAUUAUUUUUUUUCCUUUUCUAUUUCCUUCAGGAAAGACUAGGUUUCAGUACGGUUUCAAAUAAAAGCAGUGGAGUAAUUUUCUCUCCCGUAGGUUCUCCCUCAGCCCCCUGAAUCAUAAGAAUCAACCCUCAUUCCUUUUCUCCCAACCUCUCAGGUGCAUUUGCUGAGUCACUGCAUGUUGGCCUGAAACAGGGUCCAUGUGUCUCCCCACCAUUUCCAAGGCAUGGAGAUGGGAAGUGGGAAGUGGGGAGGGUGAGCUUUGGACUGAACACCCAAGGCCCACGGCCACCAGCUACGAGGCUUCCCACAGGCUUGUCUUUCUCUGUAUGUCUGUCACAGGAUUCCAGUUCUCCAGUCAAACCAAUGAUGCUUCUUUGGCCCUGUGCUCCCUGAAGUCCUCCCUUUAUAUCAUAAGUAACCAAGGAGUCCUUCAUGCCUGAUUUUUGAAUGCUAGUAAAUUUUCAACAUCCUCAUCCAACUCUAUUCCCCAGGCUUCCCUGCUCCAAACUCCAAAUCACCUGAAAAAUAUGUUCCAGUCACCCCACCUCUGCACCAACUUGAGUGAGUCUGAACUGAGAAGCAUUCAUUCCAAUUUGUCAUAUUUGUGGAGGAUUUUUCUUAAAUGGUCACAAUAUUUCUAGUUCCAUGGGCUCUUCCAAGGCUUUGUCACUUCCCAUCCAGAGGCAGUUUCUGUGUUCUUCCCCUUGAACGUGGGAGGCAUUUGUGACGGCUGCCUUGACCAACAGGGUGGAAGAGACACUGCAUGACCUCUGAGUGAGUAAAGGCCAGGCAGCCCUUGCUUGACUCUCUUCCUUGAGAUGUCAUCCUUAGAACCUCCAUGUUGUGAGAAAGCUCAGGCCACUGGGAAGAACACGUGGGUGUUCCCAUUGUUGACAGCCUACAGACAAUAUCAAACACCAGACAUGUGAAUGAAUGAGCCUCCAGGUAGGUCCAGCCAUUGAGCCAGCCCUCAGUCAACUGUACCAGCUGUGACCCCAGACAUAUUGGGGUAGAGACAAUUAUAAUAUCUCUACUCUGCCUUGUUCCUGUUGCUGACCCACAAUCUGUGAGUCUACUGCUGGUCAUGAAAAAAAACAAAUUGAACUUUCAUUCAUUCAUUCAUUCAUUCAUUCAUCUAUCCACCUACUCAUCCAUCCACCAAAGACACACUUACUGAUAUCCCACUGUGUAUCAUAGACUAUAAGCAUGGGGGCUGCAGAGAUAAAGAAAGAAGUGAAGGUCCUGAGGAGCUCACAGACAUACUACUCAUUCUGCUGUUGACCCAUCACCCCAAGUAACAAAAGAGCACCCCUACUAAUAUCCUGCUUCAGAUUUUCACAGUCGCUCAUUUAUGCUUGCAUUUCUGCUUUGCCAUUCCAACUAAGUGCCUUUAGAAUAAGGGAUCAACUUUUUUUCUCAUGGUGCUUAGCACGGUUUUAUAAAUUUAACACAUGUUUGAUAUAGCUUGUUAAUUUUUGAAAAAUCAGUCCAUAUACUGCUAGAGGUUUUCAAGGCUUCAAGUAAAUAAAAGAAUUACAUUUUGGAAAAAUAACUUAAUAAAUGAAAUCCUUGUGCCAAUAGGAGAAAAAGAAGAAAGGUAUGAAUGAUUUUUGGGUCCUUAUUAGAUGACUGGGGCCUGCUAUUUCAUUUACUCUUCAUAGGAAACUUAUACAAAUUAUGACAAUCCUCAAAUUGCAGACUUUAAGAUAAACUGGCUAAAUUGAAUGACUAUCAAAUGUGGCACAAGGAGUUUAGCCAAUGCCAGGGACUCUUUUGCAGCCACUGUGGUGACUCCAGCACAUGAAGAUGCCACCCAGAUGACAUUUGCUUUCAAGACCUUUGAACAGGCUGCCUUGAAAAGAAUGCUUUCCAAUGUGCAACUCUAUAUCUUCUGUGGCUCUGGCGUUUUGUGAAGCAUUGCUAAACCUAGUGCAGUAAACACCGAAAUGCAGCUGAGGAGUAAGGAAUCAUCUUUGCAUGAAAAGCGAAAACCUUCUCUUGUCCUGCUGGUUUGCUCUGUGGGCAGAAGUGAGGGGGCUGAGAGGUGGGAGGCCUGGACCCAAUGCUCCUAUGCUGUAUUGCUCGGGGUGACCUCGACAUCCAAAGACUUCAUUUUUAAGAACAAUCCAUCUGUGGUGAGGCUGUGGGUGGUAGUCUCUAAAAAGAUGAUGUAACUCCUUAUUAAAAGAAACUGUGGUGUUGGGAAUUAUUCUUCGGAGAGCGGGACUUCUUGCAAGAAAUUCCAAGAACCCCAGAAGCUUCUGGAUAGCAUAUGUGGGUCGAUGGAUGAAGACAUACUCUCUCCUCUGACAAAAUCUUUCUGUCUUGCAUCUAGGGAGCUGUGUAAUUGAAAUCAGAAUUCAGAAAGUGACCGUCGUGAUGUCGUUUACCCACAUCUUUCAUCAUGAGAAAACUAGAGGCACUGGAGGGAGGAAGUCACUUGCCCAGAGUGGCCCAGUGGUUAAGGAUGGUUGUGAUGAGCUGUGAAUGGCUCUGUGGAGCCAGCACAGUGCGUCUGGAGGCUGGUUCUGCACACCUUGGCCUGGUCCACUCACCUCACCCAUGCUCAGUCCUGUUCUCUGCCUUCCUGGCUUCUGACCUUAUCGUGGAUUUUUUGGUCCAGGCCUCACUCCUCCUAUAGGGUUUCACCACUGUUUCUCCUCUUAGCAACAUCUUCCCCCAGAAUAGGGCCAGGCGUGUAAACACAAAAAUAUGCCAGGUAAAAAAAUCCCACAGAAACUGGGCAGGUCAUCAAGUGAGAGGAUCACUUAAAUUCUAAUGUGUAGACCGUCCUGGCUGAAGCAAUAUGUCUGCCAGUUGGAACUGGCUGGAGCUUGCUGUAAACAGCAGACUUGAAAACCAGCAUGGCCCAGACUACGAACUAGGUUUGAUGUUUUGUUUGACAGGCAGGUCUAGAUGACCACUGAAAUAUCAUCAUCUCCUCGAACACUUUUUUCUUCUGAAAAUCAUUUAAAGUUUUUACCAUGUAAAGUGGUAGCUCAGUCCCUGUUUUCCAAGAUUGAGCCAUCCUCCUUUCCUUUGUGUAUCCCCACUGCCAUAUUGCCAUAAAAAUAAUAAGAAUGAAUAACAUUAACAACAACAAAUGUCAUUGCUGGAUGUUCACAUGUCAGGUAAGAUGCUAGGUGUGUUUUUAUUUAUUUAUUUUUUAUCUU
rnacentral:lncRNA from 1 species